AUGUAUACUUCCUUAAGAAAUUCUAUGGAGUUUGUUGACUACUAUUCUGAUUGUUGUAUACAGCUAGACAAAUUGCCAUUUAUAAAGAACUGAACAUCUUCUAAAAUCAAGAAGCCAAAUUCUGCUCUCCAUUACAUCAUCACUUUGAACCUACUGCACAUUGAAAAACCAAGGAAAAAAUCAAUACCCAAUUAUAUAAGUGCCAGGCUUCUACAACACAGUAGACUAGCAAAAACGGUUUUGAAUGAAGUUACAAUUGACCUGAUCAAAAUGGCUCAGCUGAAGCACUCAGAUUCAAGAAAUGAGGAAAGUUGCUUCCUCCAGUGACAAUUCAAAGAAAGGAACAGAUGACAGUAAAGCAGAAAAAUUCUCACCACCAGCCAAACCAAAUGAAAUUUUUUCAUUUUGCAG